rnacentral:lncRNA from 1 species
GAAUCUCUGAGACUGACCUCAGCAUGGGUAGUCACUCUUAGCUGGAGUACAAGAGUGAAGUAGUGAUGGAUAUGAUGAUGAUGGUGAUUGCCUUCCUGCCACUGGACCCUCCCCUCGGAAGCUUGCAGGAGGUCUGACUUUUCUUUGGCCAAAUCAUCAUUGGAAGAGGACAUUACAUAACAGGAACACAGAGGUGACCCUGUUCAAAGACCAUUAUUACUGCACUGUGUGUUUAUCUUCAAUGGAAGCCAUGAGCAUUGAAGAUUGCUUCUCCCUAAAAUUGCAGUUUAAAUUGCAACUGUAGUGUCUGAUACUCUGUAAUUCUUGGUAUAACAUGACUCUAAGAAAGCCAAUGUAUUUAUGUGUACAGAGGACCAAAAAGCAAGAAUUGUUCAUAUUAAAAUAUACUUUAAAGAAUUAGCCACUUUCUUUUUCCUAUACAGAAACUCAGAGACUUUGACUUGCUGGACAAGUACCACUGCUGUGAUAUUUUGAUCCCUCAAUUUUCAUUGUAUUAUCUUAACAUCUGAAGAAGAUGAGCCCACAGUAAAAGCUGUAAAGACAUUUUCUAUGCAACCAAGCAAACAAAUUUGUAGUAAGUUGAAAAAUACUGAUUGGUAAUUACGUUGUUACAGAACGCUGAUGUAUUUCUGCAGUGUUCAGUCUGGCCCCAUGGGCUAACAUUAUUUCUGAACGCCAGUGUUGGGUUAGGCUGUGUAGAGGAUCGGUUGUUCUUUCUUUUGGGGUCACCAGUUAUCAGGAAUAUUUUGACUAGGUUUGUGUUUCUUUAGUAGCAUAUCUAGUAACUGUAUAUUUUAUUUGCUUUCUGAUGUUAGAUUUCUCCAAGUAUCUACUGCUUCUUCCUCUUCUGAUGCAGUGAAUGAGCCCAGCAGACCCACGGCUAACUCAGGGAGGAGUUGUUGCUCUGGUGACAUCAUUUACUCAGAGUUCUCAUCUUACAUAAACUCUGGAGAUCCAAUGAAUCCACAUACAACAGUGCCAGGCCUUUAGACUGGGAAUUAACUGUAUUUUGUACCUGAGUGUAAAUUAUUGUUAUAUCUUGUUCUAAGGCUAUCCAAUCAAGUCAGCUUGCUACACCAUCUCUUUAUUACCUGUGUAAUAUCUUUAUGAUCUGAGGAGGAGUAUUGAGUGUGCUUUAGCUAUUUCCAAUGUAAAAUAUUUUAGAAAAAUCAGUGGGAGAAAGCCCAUUUCACAUUUUAUAUAAUGCAUAUAAGAAGAAAAUGGCUUCUUUGUUAACAAAUUAACCAUAUUAGAAUACAAAUCACAAACAUAAGAUGCAGAUUCAACUUCUUACUUCUUUAAGAUGAAAUUAUAAUAGGAAAAUUACAUUAAAGUGAAAACUUAAAGUGAUACAAUAUAUUGGAAAGUAUAAAAAUGGCAAAGUAUGACAAGAGAAAAAUGUCUUCAUCCCAGUCCCUUGCUGAUGCAGAUCCAAUCAUCACCUCCCCAGGCCUCAAAUUUCUCAUAUGGUAGAGUGAUUUCCAUGCUGUCAAGUCUAAAAUUCAAAUUUUCAGUAGCAUCUAGUUAAUCUACACAGAGAGUCAAACAUACCAAUAACACUUAAUUUUGAAUAAGUAUCUCUGGGGUCGUGUUUUACAACAGUUGAAGAAUGAGAUUUGAAUCUUGAAAAUGGUUCAGUUAUGAUUUUUUUUUCAUAUUGCCACAUUAGCAGCUUUACUAACAAAAAGCUAGCUUAUAGAAUAUUAACUCUUUGUGAAGUCAUGGGAAGGUGCUCAAGUUUCUAACCAAAGUUCCAAUAUGAUCAUACAGAUUACUGAAGAUUUUCUCAGCUCAUUUUUUUUAAUGUGCUGAAUUGUACAGUACAAAAAACCACAUGGGGUCUAGACAUUAUUUAAUACCACUGGCAGCCAAAUCAUACCAGGCCCCCUUUCAACUGCUUUUCAAUUGGUUUUGGAAAAUGACUUCAUCCAAAGUAGAAUACAAGAGGGGUUUUAUAUACACUCUUAUCUUUUUGUCCUGCUCACAGAAUGGCUUAAUAGUUCUUAUCCAUGGAAGGGGUGGGGACAUUCAGCAUCUGCCAAUAGUGUGUUCAUGCUCAUUUUCUUAAGCUAGAUUCUUCUUGACAUGGUUAAUGGAUUCCAGUGAUAAAACAUUUCUGUUCUCUUUAACCUGGAAUAUGAUUCUAAAGAUGUAAUGCUUAAGUUAAUUUCUUUACUUUAUUCAUUCAUUUUCUUAUUCAUAAGGGAGUCCAACUUUACUGCAACCUUUCUACAUGGGGAUUAAAUAACAGUUGAUCAGGCUCACCAUCAAGAAUUACACAAUAUAUAGGAAAAGCAUGUAUUUUAACAAAUAUUUGCAAUUAAGUAUAAUUAUCACUUUGUUAGAACAAAAUAGAUUAUUCAUUACAUAUAUCAAGCAUCUAUUAUAAACCUAAACCAUCCAAUGAAAGAGAACAUCUAUUGUAAAGAUUCAAUAACCAUGAUAACAAUCAAAAUAAUUAACAUGAAAUAUCUCCUGAUCCUUUCACAUGUAUAACCAAGAAUUAUUUAAGCAGAGAUUUUAUGAAUUAAUUGGAGUUUGAAUUAUGGUCUGAGGACAGGUGAGUACAGAGAAAAGUGGUACCACAUAGAUGAAAGCCUGGAGCAUUAAGAGCUUGGUGUGAUUAGGCUCUGGAAAAACUAAGAGUUCUGGAGCUUUCUUACAUUUGAAGGAAGUUGAGAUGGAGUCAUUUACAGUAGUUACACAUGAAAUACUUCCUGAUUCCUGUUGAAAAGCUACUAUCCAGUCAUGCUGGCCCUUUCUUCCUGAUGUGGAGUUCAUGGAACUCCAAAGAGUACCAAAGAGUACACGUGGAGUGACCCAUAGCUCCAGCCACAUAUGUGGCAGAGGAUGGCCUUAUUGGAAAUCAGUGGGAGGAGCAGCCCUUGGCCCUGAGAGAGUAUGAUACACCAGUGUAAGGAAAUGUCAGGGUGGGAAGGCAGAAGUUGGUGGUGGGGGAGCACCCUCAUAGAGACAGGAGAAAGGCACAUGGGAUAGGAAGUUUCCUGAGGGUAGACCUGGAAAAGAAGUAACAUUUGAAAUGUAGAUAAAGAAAAUAUCC